rnacentral:rRNA from 1 species
UACGUAGGGUGCAAGCGUUAAUCGGAAUUACUGGGCGUAAAGCGUGCGCAGGCGGUGAUGUAAGACAGAUGUGAAAUCCCCGGGCUCAACCUGGGAACUGCCUUUGUGACUGCAAGGCUUGAGUGCGGCAGAGGGGGAUGGAAUUCCGCGUGUAGCAGUGAAAUGCGUAGAUAUGCGGAGGAACACCGAUGGCGAAGGCAAUCCCCUGGGCCUGCACUGACGCUCAUGCACGAAAGCGUGGGGAGC